GAGAGGAGCCCCAUCCCCAGGAUUCACAGGUGUUUCCACUGAAUUUUCACGGCUGAAAAAGGAGACUCGCCAUGGAGUUUGGACUUUGCUGGGUUUUCCUUGUUGCCAUUUUAGAAGGUGUCCAGUGUGAGGUGCAGCUGGUGGAGUCUGGGGGAGGCUUGGUUCAGCCCGGGGGGUCCCUGAGACUCUCCUGUGCAGCUUCUGGAUUCACGUUCAGUGACUAUGGCAUGAACUGGUUUCGACAGGCUCCGGGGAAGGGGCUGGAGUGGGUCUCAUACAUUAGAUAUGAUGGUGGUAGCACAAACUACGCAGACUCCGUGAAGGGCCGAUUCACCAUCUCCAGAGACAACGCCAAGAACUCGCUGUAUCUGCAGAUGAACAGCCUGAGAGCCGAGGACACGGCCGUGUAUUACUGUGCGGGACACAGUGAGGGGAGGUGUCCAUCCGGGAUCAGCCGUGUGCCCCGCAGCCACCGAGCCUUUUCAUCCCUGCUGUGCUCAGUCACUGUCUGCGAGGAGCUCCCAGGACGUGUGUGUUUGGCUCAGACCCGGUGA